rnacentral:rRNA from 1 species
CAACUUUGAAAUCUGGCACCUUCGGUGUCCGAAUUGUAGUCUCUAGAAGUGUUUUCCGUGCUGGCCCAUGUGUGAGUCUGUUGGAACACAGCGUCAUAGAGGGUGACAACCCCGUUCAUAACAUGGACCCCAGUGCUUUGUGAUACACUCUCGACGAGUCGAGUUGUUUGGGAAUGCAGCUCAAAUUGGGUGGUAAAUUCCAUCUAAAGCUAAAUAUUGGCGAGAGACCGAUAGCAAACAAGUACCGUGAGGGAAAGAUGAAAAGCACUUUGGAAAGAGAGUUAACAGUACGUGAAAUUGCUAAAAGGGAAACGAUUGAAGUCAGACGUGCGUGAUGCAGUUCAGCUCUGGUUCGCCAGAGUGUAUUCUGUGUCUUUGCAGGCCAACAUCGGUUUCACGAGGCGGAUAAAGGUUUGAGAAAUGUGGCAGCUUCGGCUGUGUUAUAGUCUCUUGCUGAAUACGCCUCGAG